UACGAAGGGGGCGAGCGUUGUUCGGAUUUACUGGGCGUAAAGGGCGCGCAGGCGGCUCAUUUUGUCAGGCGUGAAAGCCCCGGGCUUAACCUGGGAACUGCGUUUGAUACGGAUGGGCUAGAGUUCGGGAGAGGAGAGUGGAAUUCCCAGUGUAGAGGUGAAAUUCGUAGAUAUUGGGAAGAACACCGGUGGCGAAGGCGGCGACCUGGUCCUUGACUGACGCUGAGGCGCGAAAGCGUGGGGAGCAAACGGG
rnacentral:rRNA from 1 species